rnacentral:rRNA from 1 species
AUGGCGGCCGAGCAAGAGGAUUUCGCUUGCUACAGAAGUGACUGGGAAUCUAGAUGGGGAUCCAAGGGGGGAUGCGGCUUCUUCAAAGCCACGAAUCUUGUUAGAUUUCUAACACAUUCUUCACUUUGGUGCUUGCAUGCAGCGCAAUUGAGUUCCAUGCACUUCACACACUUGACACCUAAACCCAGCUUAGACGAUGGUAUCGUCGCGAAUACCUUGCAGAUCUUCUUCAUUAAAAUCGUAGAAAUUAAAGGCGGCCUCGAAUGGCCGUUGUGUGUGUAUGGUGUGGUUGCUGCCCGGGACCCAGUUGAUCACAAUCGCAACCUUCUCUUCUGUUGCAGUAGGACAAGGAGCCAAAUAGUCCAGAAAAACGAUCCUUUUUUGCGCUUGAUUGGGCCAUCUCGUGCGAUCCUAUUCAAUGACCCUGUUGACUUUGAAAUUCAGCUUAAAGUAAAAUGUGGAGCCAUGUCUGGAGAUAGAGCAUUGAUCAGCGCGAUACACUGUUAUCGUGCACGUCGUCAUGGUGUGCAUACCGUUUGCUUUGAGAACCACUUCUGUAAAAUAGAGUUGUGCAUGGAGCUGCUUGUGCAGACGAUCCAGGCCACAAUCUGCAGCAUCCGUGUUGUCAAACAGGGGAUACGGCAGCGUGUUGAACGUCGAUGCCGAGUAGCUUGCUCAACAGCACCCUACUCACGCAAGGUCAUCGACGGUAAAACCGCCUAUGUUGCUAAUGCCUCAUCUGGUGAAGUCGUGCUUCUUGAUCCUGGUAGACAUGCAACACCUGAAGGUUCAGAAGGUUACCUUGAUCUGUCAAGGCGUGUGGUGUCGGUAGAACAUGAAGAAGGCAUGCUGGAACUCGUUGUACAUGCCUACUCAUCAUCCGGAGAUAUCACUGCACAAGGGCACGUCUCUUUGGCACCCAGAUCUUUUGGCUUCAGUCAGAAGAAAUUCUAUGUUGAUGAUGCUGUGCUAUAG